rnacentral:rRNA from 1 species
AUUGAACGCUGGCGGCAGGCCUAACACAUGCAAGUCGAGCGGAUGAAGGGAGCUUGCUCCUGGAUUCAGCGGCGGACGGGUGUGUAAUGCCUAGGUAUCUGCCUGGUAGUGGGGGAUAACGUCCGGAAACGGGCGCUAAUACCGCAUACGUCCUGAGGGAGAAAGUGGGGGAUCUUCGGACCUCACGCUAUCAGAUGAGCCUAGGUCGGAUUAGCUAGUUGGUGGGGUAAAGGCCUACCAAGGCGACGAUCCGUAACUGGUCUGAGAGGAUGAUCAGUCACACUGGAACUGAGACACGGUCCAGACUCCUACGGGAGGCAGCAGUGGGGAAUAUUGGACAAUGGGCGAAAGCCUGAUCCAGCCAUGCCGCGUGUGUGAAGAAGGUCUUCGGAUUGUAAAGCACUUUAAGUUGGGAGGAAGGGCAGUAAGUUAAUACCUUGCUGUUUUGACGUUACCAACAGAAUAAGCACCGGCUAACUUCGUG